CCUACGGGAGGCAGCAGUAGGGAAUAUUGGACAAUGGGCGAAAGCCUGAUCCAGCAAUGCCGCGUGAGUGAUGAAGGCCUUAGGGUUGUAAAGCUCUUUUACCCGGGAUGAUAAUGACUGUACCGGAAGAAUAAGCCCCGGCCUAACUUCGUGCCAGCAGCCGCGGU
rnacentral:rRNA from 1 species